rnacentral:misc_RNA from 1 species
UUUCCGUAGGUGUACCUGCGGAAGGAUCAUUCAUAAUAAAGUGUUUUAUGGCACUUUUUAAAAAUCCAUAUCCACCUUGUGUGCAAUGUUAGAUCUCGUCAAUCUUGGCGAGAUUUUUAUACAUCAACUCAUUCUUUAACUAAUUUGUCUGAAAAAUAUUAUGAAUACUUAAUUCAAAAUACAACUUUCAACAACGGAUCUCUUGGCUCUC